rnacentral:tRNA from 1 species
UCUCUGGUUUCUCAGACCGUAAAGAAUCCACCUGCAAUGUGGGAGACCUGGGUUCGAUUUCUGGCCUGGGAA